UGUACGAUUUUGUACACAGUCUAGUCAGCGAGCUACCUAUGCAUUAUUACAUCAUACACUUGUAAAAUUAAAGUUUCAUUUUCACUUUUGUUUCUAAGAAGUGAACUUAGAUUUUCAGAAAAUGUAGGACUAUCUUUUGUUUUUCCUCUCUUUUACUAUGAUGAUUUUCCUGCUGUAAAGCUUUUCUUGUAUAAAGCUCAAUUUCUCUAUGACCACGGAAGUAAGCAUCCUGAUGUAUUCUUGUCAUGUGAAUGUUGAGAGCGUGUUCAUUUUUGAAAUCUCCUUUCUGACAGACAUAUUCCACAGGAUCAGCUGAGAUGUUAUUUCACUGGAUUAUUUAAUGGAUAGGCUUAUUGGGCAUAUAGUUGGAUAUCUCUGGUAAGUUUACUUACUAAAUGGUGAUCAAAGAGAUAUUAAUUAGGAAUCUAAUAAGAGAAAAGGAGGAAUUUACAAAAGAUUAAUUCUAAGUCAUUUACUUUUUGUUUUGAUUCUAAAUAUGUGUGAUAUAUGGUAUACAUAUAUUUUCAUUUUCACUUUUGUUUCUUGGUAAUGAGCUUUUCAAAAAAUGAAGGACUACAUGUUGUACUGUGAUGAUGCUAAAAAAAAAAAAUAAAAUAUGUAUUUUUCUGUAUGCAUUACUGAUAGCUAUUAAACCAAAAUUGAAUC